CCUACGGGUCGCACCAGUGGGGAAUAUUGCACAAUGGGCGCAAGCCUGAUGCAGCCAUGCCGCGUGUAUGAAGAAGGCCUUCGGGUUGUAAAGUACUUUCAGCGGGGAGGAAGGUGUUGUGGUUAAUAACCGCAGCAAUUGACGUUACCCGCAGAAGAAGCACCGGCUAACUCCGUGCCAGCAGCCGCAGUAAUACGGAGGGUGCAAGCGUUAAUCGGAAUUACCGGGCGUAAUGCGCACGCGGGCGGUCUGUCAAGUCGGAUGUGAAAUCCCCGGGCUCAACCUGGGAACUGCAUUCGAAACUGGCAGGCUAGAGUCUUGUAGAGGGGGGUAGAAUUCCAGGUGUAGCGGUGAAAUGCGUAGAGAUCUGGAGGAAUACCGGUGGCGAAGGCGGCCCCCUGGACAAAGACUGACGCUCAGGUGCGAAAGCGUGGGGAGCAAACAGGAUUAGAUACCCCCGUAGUC
rnacentral:rRNA from 1 species